rnacentral:tRNA from 1 species
AAUAAAAUGCCUGAAAAAGGGUUACUUUGAUAGAGUAAAUCAUGUAUAUUAAUACUUUUAUUA